rnacentral:lncRNA from 1 species
UAGCAAGUAAUUCAUCUAUCUAUUUGACUCUCUCAGUUGGUUAGCUAGUGUCAUUGUCCUUCUGCUUGGGUAAUUAGUUACUGCUGGACCCUCCGCAUAAUCUUUGAUUAUUGACUUCUCUGUAAUCGAACCUGCCAUCCACUAACCUCUUCCCAUGAACUUACGGAGUCCCUAUCUAAUAGUCACCCCCCUCUCUUACUGACUAAGGCUAAGGUGGUGUCAACCAAAGGGGCAAGAAGUUCUCACAUAAAUAGACGUUUGAAUAUUCGCUCAGUAACUCCAUUCNNNN